CCUACAGCAGCCCAUUUUGACAUUAGAAGAAACAGCAAAUCAACCUCAUUUGAGAGGGUUCUGCCUCUGGUCUGGUGAAGUAGCUCCGUUUGAGCCAACCCACAAGGACUCAGGCUUGUUGCUCUUCAUUUUGUGACCCUGCUCUUUUGCUGGGAAACCAAGCCAUUGAACUCCUCACUAAACCAACACAAACAGAUGAAGUUAGAAGGCUGGAAGCUCUCCCUCAGCUCCAGGACUUUCUUCUUGUUUUCUUUCGGCAUUUG
rnacentral:lncRNA from 1 species